ensembl:lncRNA
UAACAAGGACAUUAGGCUUAGUCUUUAGCCACAGCCACUUUACAUAGCUGUCACGGUUGGCGGCGAGGCAGAUGCGGGUGCAGACUAUAUUUAAUAUAGAUACAAACGAAACAUCAAACAGUACCUAUAGAACUUGUGGCAGAAAUCUAAGGCAAAGACUAACCAUGAAACUAAGACCAUAAACACAGCAACAGAGACAAUGGCAAAGAAAGAUAAACAUAAGACAACCAGUGUAGUGCAAACUGUGGCUAUAAAUACCAGUAAGUGAUGUUCAGGUGCAGGUGGUCAUGUGACAUAAUUGUGUGGUGCAGUGGCUGCUGGGAACUGUAGUCCAGAGUUCCUUCUCUGAUAUUACAUGACAAUAGCAAGUUUGCAUCUUGCUAGUUUAGAUAUUAUAUAUGUACUGUAUGUAUGUAUGUAUGUAUGUAUGUAUGUAUAUAGGUAUUUAUUCCUUAUAAUAUAUGCCUAAAUUUUUUUCAGCUCAUCGAGCAUCUGCAACAAUUAAGUCUGGAUGUGGAGGAGAGGCAUGUAGAGGAGAUGCAUGUGGAGGUCAGCUGUCUGCAUUUUUUUAAAUUGUCAUUUUCUAAAUUGUGAUAAGUAAAUGCCUUGUUACAAAAUGAAGUUCCUGUUCUGUUUUAACCAUCUGUAUCUCUUGUUUUCUUUCUCCCACUCUCAUUGAGUAUCCUUCCUCUAUUUUUUCCUCUCCUCCCUCUUCUUUAAUCUCUCCUCCCUCCCUCCCUCCCUCCCUCCCUCCCUCCCUCCUCCCCGCCCUCCACGAAACAUCCACAAAUCUGUACUGAGUUUGACCUCUGAUCAUAAAUAUCUGAAACACAUGAAGUCAGUUUCUCGCAGAACACGUGGUUGACUGAAGUGGGCUUCCUUUUAUUGCCUUCCCUUCCCCUGCACCACUCUGUUAUUCUCAGACCUUUUUCCUCCUGUGAGGAAAUUCACAGAACACUGAAGCAGUGCUGCUGACCAUGAACAGCCUUUGAUGGAGUAUCAGCAUGAUGAAAUAAAACACAGCAAUGACUAAGUGGACUCUUUCUUUUCUCAAUUUAUACUAGUUAAACUUAAGAAUGUUUGUGUAGUCAGUUAAUUAGCUUUUAAAUUAGAUUUUAAAAUAUUAUGAAUUAUUAUAAUAUGAAUAUUAUAUUAUAUUUUUUUAAUUAUUAUAUAUAAAAAAAAUUAUAAUAUAAUAUCCUAUUUUAUAAUAAAUUAUUAUGAUUGAUUAGAAUACCCACACUAUGUGAUUGUUUACUCAGAUGCCACAUGAUGCCGUUAGUGAGAUGAGUGAAUUCUUCCAGAAACUAAGCCUGGGGGAAGAAAAGAUGGAUGUGGAUGUGGAUGAAGAGGAGAUGGAUGUGGAUAUGGUUGUAGAGAAGAUGGAUGUGGACAUGAUGGAUGAGAUGAACAGCCUGAAAGAACAGAUCAGAAAGAGGAUCAGAUCGAUGAUCAUACAAAUGAUCACAAUCAGGAUCUGAUCAUUGGAGAUAUGCGACUGACAGCAAAUCUCCGUUUUCAGAUAUUUGGCACAAGUUGGACUUCUGUAUAUAUGUCAUUUCUUACCUAAUAGUAUCUAUUUUAUUCUAGUUCACUUUUUAACCUGUAAAAUACCCAACUGUAUCCUGUGUCUUGUAUGGGUAUUAUUGUAAAUAUGUAUAUGUUACUUUGCUUGCUUUGCUUUGUUAUUGAAUCAAUAUUGCAUUAAAUUUAAACAAAGUUUAAGUCCUCCAAAGUGGGGGGGUGGAUGGUAUGGGUUUAAAAAAAAAAAAUAAAUAAACUAGUAAAAUGCACGUGGCUCAAAGUUUCUGUCAUUGUAACCUUUCUAGAUACAUUUAAAGCAAUUUCACGUAAUAACCCCCCCCAGUUGAAAUUAUUAAGAAAUUAAUUCUAUCCAGGAUUUCUUUUUCACGCAGAACGCAUUGUAGGAGACAGCAUCUUAAACGGAG